rnacentral:lncRNA from 1 species
GAAAAAUAGGAGAUGUUGACCUUUUUAUUAUAGACUUUUCUCUGCUGUUGCCCUCCUUUCAACUGCACAUGGCUUCCCCCAGCUCCCCCGCCCGCCCUGCACUCAUGCACGCUGUCUUCAGCUGUAUGUUAUCUCAAAUAAUUACCCUCGCUUCUGGCUGUCCCUGGCGACUUCUGCUGCUAAAAAAGCUACUCAUUGUCGGAGACUGAAGAGGGAUUUCCAGCCUGCUUCUUGUGGCCGGGCAACGGCUCUUAAUUAACCACUCAGGUAUUGUGGGAGCUCCCAGCCCGGCUCGCUUCCAUAUGGCGCGAACAUGUCCGCAGUGAUAAGCACGGGAGGAAAUACUGUAUCAAAAAGGAGCUCACACAACCGAAAGCUUGUGCAAAUUAUUUUUAAUGAUUCUUCUCUGACUGCCCAAUGGGAUGAAGUUUCCAGUGUGAUGUCAUUGGAAACAUUGCUCCUCAGAGCAGUGAAAUUAGCCCGAAAGAAGAGGAACAUGGAGCCUCACUUUCCAAUCAGAGUCAGGCUGACAAAUACUGACUACACAGGAGACGCUUCCCCAAGGGCAGCGAGUACUUCAUUUCCUUCAUAUAAACAAACACAGGCCUUUUCUCAAAACAAGGUGGCAGUGCUCACGUACAAGCCAAAUGGUGAGGUCACUGCCUGUGAGGCCCUGCCAGGCAGCGGAGGGGACCCGCUAGGUAAGAACAACUUCCAAGGGGAGCAUUGUGAUCGGAGGGUUCCCUUGGCAACUCCUCUUUUGGUAAGUCCAUGA